rnacentral:rRNA from 1 species
UAAGGUUGACCUCGGAUCAGGUAGGAAUACCCGCUGAACUUAAGCAUAUCAAUAAGCGGAGGA